rnacentral:rRNA from 1 species
AUUGAACGCUGGCGGCAUGCUUUACACAUGCAAGUCGAACGGUAACAGGCCUUCGGGUGCUGACGAGUGGCGAACGGGUGAGUAAUGCAUCGGAACGUACCCAGAGGUGGGGGAUAACGCAGCGAAAGCUGUGCUAAUACCGCAUGUGAUCUGAGGAUGAAAGCGGGGGACCGAGCAGCAAUGUUUGGCCUCGCGCCUUUGGAGCGGCCGAUGUCGGAUUAGCUAGUUGGUGGGGUAAAGGCCUACCAAGGCGACGAUCCGUAGCUGGUCUGAGAGGACGUCCAGCCACACUGGGACUGAGACACGGCCCAGACUCCUACGGGAGGCAGCAGUGGGGAAUUUUGGACAAUGGGCGCAAGCCUGAUCCAGCAAUGCCGCGUGCGGGAAGAAGGCCUUCGGGUUGUAAACCGCUUUUGGCAGGAACGAAACGGUGUCCGCUAAUACCGGGCGCUAAUGACGGUACCUGCAGAAUAAGCACCGGCUAACUACGU